rnacentral:lncRNA from 1 species
CUAGAACAAGGGUGUUUAGCCACUCAAGUUUGAAUUCAACACCAAAAACAAGUAAUUAAUCAUACCAAAAUUAAUCUUAAAGUGAAGAAGUUCAAAAGCAUGCUUAAUUUUUAAGCACUUCCUCCGCUGCUAUGCUUCUGGCUCCCCAAAUGUCCAAGAUGAUCCCCUAAUAGUGUUAACAUUUUCUGUUUAUACUGGGCAAAAUUUGACCUGGGUGGAAUGAGCAGAGCGUCGCCCUGGCUGUAGCCCCGCUCUAAGAAAGGUUGUGCCUUGGCUAAGCCCCGGUCUAAGCAAGGCUGCACCUUGGCUAUAUCCCCGCUCUAGAUGGGGCGGCGCCUCAAUAUUGCUUUGAGCUACUGGAACUUGCUCUCUGAAUUUUGGUUAAGUGUUGAGUCUUCCCUCUUGAUCCCUUGUCUGGUGGCAUCUUUCCCAUAAAUUCCAAGCCUUUUUAACAUAAAAAUAGCAUCAUAUUCAGCUCCAAAAUCUUCCUACAUAGUCACACCACACGAAUUAAGAAGAAAACACAACACUACAUCCAUAACCACAAAUCAAAACAGGAGCUUCGCUAAGCUAGUUCACAUCGAUUUUUUACUUAUUGUUUCAGCUAUACACUCAUUCAAAUUGAACUUUGCUCAUUACCAACAAGUUAUUCCACUCAUAGUUACAGAUAAAAAUCAUUUGGAACACUUUAAACACAAUAGAAUCCACUGGAAUAAACUAGACAAGCACCUAGCUCAAGCUAGUAAAAUUAGUUUUCUCGGUUGAACUUUAAAUGGUCAAAUUGAAUCAAAACUUGUUUGGAAACAC